rnacentral:rRNA from 1 species
UAAAGCAGGAAUUACUACUGCUUGUUUACGCAUUAAAUCGAAGUGGACUGCUGGCGGAAAAUGAGAAAAUUCGACCUAUCCUUGCGCAGCUCGAGAAGCUCUUACUUUGCGACCUUUCGCCAUCAACUAACGAUUCUGUCAAAAACUGACGCGUUGGAUGAGGAGAAGUGGCUUAAUAUGCUUGGCACG